rnacentral:sRNA from 1 species
AGCAGCCGCGGUAAUUCCAGCUCCAAUAGCGUAUAUUAAAGUUGUUGCAGUUAAAAAGCUCGUAGUUGAAUUUCGGGGUUCUACCGUUGGUCGGGCUAUAGUCUGUACUGGCGUGUGGAAUUUCUACCUUCUGGGGAACUAUCAUGUUAUUAAUUUAGCGUGGUAGGAAACCAGAACCUUUACCUUGAAAAAUUAGAGUGUUCAAAGCAGGCUUACGUCUGAAUACAUUAGCAUGGAAUAAUAAAAUAGGACGGUGGUCCUGUUUUGUUGGUUUCUGAAUCACCGUAAUGAUUAAUAGGGAUAGUUGGGGGCAUUAGUAUUCAAUUGUCAGAGGUGAAAUUCUUGGAUUUAUUGAAGACUAACUACUGCGAAAGCAUUUGCCAAGGAUGUUUUCAUUAAUCAAGAACGAAAGUUAGGGGAUCGAAGACGAUCAGACACCGUCGUAGUCUUAACCAUAAACUAUGCCGACUAGGGAUCGGAUGAUGUUAAUUUUUA